AGAUGUUAAAUGUCAGGUAGCUCUGCACACAGGGAAACAGAAUUACAAAAACAUAGAAAAUAAGAAUUAACUGAGCAGCAGGGAUCUUUACCAGAAGCCAUAUGGUGCUCCAGAAUCGACCAGACUGUCAGAAGAACCUUAUAAAGCCCUGGUGCUCAUCAGCAGGAUCUGCUGCAGCUGCUGCCAAUCUCUGCCCAGGAAACAAAUUAAGGAGUUGCAAGACCUAAAAGAAAAUAAUGAAAAAAAAAAAAAACACGGAGAAAAGUUUCAAACUUUUUACUCCCAGCUCUGAACAGCUUCAGUGGACAGAUCCUCCCAACUCUGCAGAAGAGUUCUCCGGCUCCUUUGGCCUCCUGGAUGUUUCUCUGGUCUACCUCACCUUCUCAGUGAGUUUUGGUGGACAACCCUCUCAUGUUAACUAAGAGAAAGAUCCUUGGGCUUCUACUGAGAGGUGUUAAACUGGUGUUGAUAGCUAUCAGAACAGAUACACUGAAGUACUUGCUGACCCACGGAGCUAAACUUUGUGGCUGCAGAAGAUAAACGUGGCUUUAAAUCAAAGAAGAACGGAGUAAUACAUAAGCAUAAAACACUUUUAAGUGUAUGUAUUUAUUUAAUUGUUUGUUUGUUUGUUUUUUAUUAAAGGAAAACAUGAUUUCCCUUUUUAACCUUAUGGU